UACGGAGGGAGCUAGCGUUGUUCGGAAUUACUGGGCGUAAAGCGCACGUAGGCGGCUUUUCAAGUCAGGGGUGAAAUCCCGGGGCUCAACCCCGGAACUGCCCUUGAAACUGGAUGGCUAGAAUACUGGAGAGGGUAAUGGAAUUCCGAGUGUAGAGGUGAAAUUCGUAGAUAUUCGGAAGAACACCAGAGGCGAAGGCGAUUACCUGGCCUAGUAUUGACGCUGAGGCACGAAAGCGUGGGGAGCGAACAGG
rnacentral:rRNA from 1 species